UUUAGGUCUUUUACGGAUGUCAUAUGCUGCCUGAUUUUCGUUGCCGCUAUGGUCGGCUAUGUAAUCCUUGGUGGUGCAGCUUGGCUUUAUGGAAAUCCUCAGUACAUCACCAAGGAGCAAAACUCUGCUGGGGCUUUUUGUGGAAUGGGAUCAAACUUCGAUAAACCCAAUUUGUUUUAUUUCAACAUACUGAAGUGUGCCUUAGCAGUCAAUGUAACUGCAUCAACGUUCAAAGGCCUUCAGUGUCCAACGAUUCAAGU